rnacentral:SRP_RNA from 1 species
AGGCUGGCUUGUGGACUGAUCCCUCGCCAACCCGGUCAGAUCCGGAAGGAAGCAGCCGUAACGAGACCGAUUUGGGUCGCUUGUCCAGUCUUCC